rnacentral:rRNA from 1 species
ACGAACGCUGGCGGCGUGCUUAACACAUGCCAGUCGAACGGUGAAGCGCCUUCCUUUUUGGUGGGUGUGGAUGAGUGGCGAACGGGUGAGUAACACGUGAGUAACCUGCCCCCUUCUUCUGGAUAACCGCAUGAAAGUGUGGCUAAUACGGGAUAUUCUGGGUCUGUCGCAUGAUGGGUCUGGGAAAGAUAUUGUUUCGGUGGGGGAUGGGCUCGCGGCCUAUCAGCUUGUUGGGGGGGUGAUGGCCUACCAAGGCGGUGACGGGUAGCCGGCCUGAGAGGGUGGACGGUCACACUGGGACUGAGACACGGCCCAGACUCCUACGGGAGGCAGCAGUGGGGAAUAUUGCACGAUGGGCGCAAGCCUGAUGCAGCGACGCCGCGUGAGGGAUGGAGGCCUGCGGGUUGUGAACCUCUUUCGCCAGUGAAGCAGGCCUGCCUCGUUUGUGGGUGGGUUGACGGUAGCUGGAUAAGAAGCGCCGGCUAACUACGUG